ACGUCAUAAUGACGUACUACUUUAACGAAUUUGAACAAGACGCGCCAGCGCCAUUUUCUGCAUGAGAGGACGAGAUCGCUACACGAGUUGCUGAUGGGAGAAAAAAGAAGACGAAGGAGCUCUUAUUUGAACGACUACAGAUGUAUUUUUAUAACAACAAACCAAAGGAUGAGGACUGCAGCAUUGCUUGGGCUGCCGUGAUACAUGCGAGAGACUCCAUCUAAAUUCAUGAAGAUAUGCGAGCCCAGUGACCAUGAAGAGGAUGUGAUCAAGGGCGUGGUGAUCGGAAUCCUAGUGGUUGUGGAAAAUGCGGAGCCUUUUCCAGAAUUCUACAAUGACGUUGCCCUGGGGAUUGAGGAAGAAGUGGUGAUGCGUCACCCUGAGUGACAUACCUAAUGCUUUUCUGAACCUGAUUGGCCUGGUGUACGCAUUAAACCUUGACUAUCCAAAGGAAUUAAAAUUCACUUUUGAAGUGAUACAGCGCCUGUUCAUUGGAGUUGGAUCACACUCUUGCACCGCAAGAGUUCACUCUUUGAAGAGCAAGUUGCUGAGAUAAGAAACUAUUUUCUUCUCCUUGUUACUAUAAGCAUUUACAGUGUUACACUGUUUUAAAGUUUAAGACCAUUGUUAUUUUAGAUAUUAUUGUUUUAAAGGGAUACUCCAUCAUUUUGUCUCAUUAAACUGUUAUUACCUUAAAGCAAUAGUUCACUUUGAAAUUAAAUUCUAAUGUUUUAGCUUACCUCAAGGGCAUU